rfam:Aedes albopictus isolate Foshan contig134251, whole genome shotgun sequence.
UAGCCUAGUGGUUAAGGCCAUGGAUCGCCAAUCCGGAGACGGCGGGUUCGAUUCCCGU